UUGAUAAAUCUUUUCCGUCAUCUUUAAAGUUGAAAAACUUUUCAUUACAUUCAUCGAAUAAAGCAAUAUUUAAAAAAAGAUAAAAUUUGAUAGUUAAAUUCUUUAUAGCCAUAUUUAUUUUAAAUGAGAGUUAUUUGUAAAAUAUUCUGAUCAUCUUUCUUCUUGUAUAAGUAUUGUAUUUUUAUUCAUAUGCUAAUAAUUUUAAUGAUACUAAUAAUCAUCUUCUUUCAGGUUGUAUCAUCGAUAAUGGUCAUAUCGUCUUUGGUAUCUUGCUUUUGGGAAUUUCGAAUGAGUACUAUGACUUUUACCUGAAAUGUGGGGAACAUUCUUCGUCCCGCUUUUGUGACGAUCAUCUCGGUACCUAGUUGAUGAAAUUCCUCCCAUAGCGGCUUUGCUUCCAAGGCUGCACCGGCGCCAACUAACACCGGAUGAAGCGGCCGUUUCGCACCCAAUUCCUCGGUGGUGGAUGCACCGUCGUCGCUCGGAUGAUGAUCACCGUGAUGACGAUUGUUGUUAUUGCUGUCAUUGCGAGAUUCUGUGGUUGACGGAGAAAUUGGAUUCGCCACAUGGACCGGCAAAGUAACCUUCAUCGGACUGCGCGAUCGCUUCACUCUUCCGGCGCUCUGCAAGCAGGCUAGUAGGACGACAAAAAACAAUAAUACAAACAUCGAACUAUAUGGUUUACCUUCCAUUUGUUGCAUCGGCGACGGUAUAACAGACAGAUGUGGAUGCUGAUGGUGGUGAUGAUGAUGAUGAUGAUGCGUCUGCCAUUGCUGGUAACAGCAAUCAGCGGUGAUUUCGUGUCGUUGUUCGUGUUGUGGUUGCAUCCUCGUCGACAAUAUCUUGGUAUCGAUUCUUACUAUACAAAUUAUUGCGACAAGAGAUACGCACAAUUCAUGUGUGGAUGCGUAAUCCACGUGGUAAAAAUUUCAACUUCAUUUGCACUGUAAUUACAAUUCGUCGACAUUUUGAACAUAAUUAAAGACAUAAAACUGAAGAACAA